UACGGGGGGAGCAAGCGUUGUUCGGAUUUACUGGGCGUAAAGGGCGCGUAGGCGGCCACCGCAAGUCGGUUGUGAAAUCUCCGGGCUUAACCCGGAGCGGUCAAGUGAUACUGUCGUGCUAGAGUGCGGAAGGGGCUACUGGAAUUCUCGGUGUAGCGGUGAAAUGCGUAGAUAUCGAGAGGAACACCUGCGGCGAAGGCGGGUAGCUGGGCCGACACUGACGCUGAUGCGCGAAAGCCAGGGGAGCGAACGGG
rnacentral:rRNA from 1 species